UGUAAACCUUUUCAUUGAUGACACCUCAACAAAUGUCAGUAAAAUAUGGCAACCAAUGCAUUGUGCCCAAAUGCAAUUAGCAGGUUUUCCUUUCCGAUUUCGUAACAAUGAGAUUUAUUCCAAUUUUCUUGGAGCUUCUGAGCAUGCCUCAGUGUUGAGCAUUUCGAAGUUAAUUCUGCAGGACAUUGAAUCUACUCAACAAAAUCCAGUUGAGACAAUUGAUGCCGAUAUGAAAACCGGCAUUGCAAUCAAGAUGGAAGUGGCUUCAUUGAUCGCUGAUUUCAACAUGCUUUCUCUAGC